rnacentral:rRNA from 1 species
UACAGAGGGGGCAAGCGUUGUUCGGAAUUACUGGGCGUAAAGGGCGCGUAGGCGGCCUGUUAAGUCGAACGUGAAAUCCCCGGGCUCAACCCGGGAACUGCGUCCGAUACUGGCAGGCUUGAAUCCGGGAGAGGGAUGCGGAAUUCCAGGUGUAGCGGUGAAAUGCGUAGAUAUCGUAAGGAAGACCAGUGGCGAAGGCGGGUCUCUGGACAGUUCCUGACACUGAGACACGAAGGCCAGGGGAGCAAACGGG